rnacentral:rRNA from 1 species
AGAGUUUGAUCAUGGCUCAGAACGAACGCUGGCGGCAGGCCUAACACAUGCAAGUCGAGCGCGCCCUUCGGGGUGAGCGGCGGACGGGUUAGUAACGCGUGGGAACGUGCCCAGAUCUAAGGAAUAGCCACUGGAAACGGUGAGUAAUACCUUAUACGCCCUUCGGGGGAAAGAUUUAUCGGAUUUGGAUCGGCCCGCGUUAGAUUAGGUAGUUGGUGGGGUAAUGGCCUACCAAGCCUACGAUCUAUAGCUGGUUUUAGAGGAUGAUCAGCAACACUGGGACUGAGACACGGCCCAGACUCCUACGGGAGGCAGCAGUGGGGAAUCUUGGACAAUGGGGGCAACCCUGAUCCAGCCAUGCCGCGUGAGUGAUGAAGGCCUUAGGGUCGUAAAGCUCUUUCGCCUGUGAUGAUAAUGACAGUAGCAGGUAAAGAAACCCCGGCUAACUCCGUGCCAGCAGCCGCGGUAAU